AGUUCCAACCUGAGUGUGGGAGCAUGGUUAACAUGAGUUCGGAGACCCCUCGAGAAAGGGGUUUCUAUGGAACCACUGAAGACCCCAGGACUGGGGCUUUCUGCAGAGACCCCCGGGACGGGGGAUUCGACUCUGCAUGCCAGCUUUCGGAGACCCCCGGGACGGGGGUUUCUGUCAAGCCACCUUGGAGACCCCAGGACUGGGGUCUUCCGCUGAGACUGGCGGAUUCUGCAGACCCCCGGGGUGGGGGUUUGUGCGAAACCACUUUGCAGACCCCCAGGACUGGGGGUUGUCUACAGAGACCCUCAGGAUGGGRGGUUUCUGGACACUUAAUUUUGGAGGCCCCCGUGAUGGGGGGAUCCACAGACUUACUUUUGGAGUCCCCCCGUGACGGGGGGAUUCUGCAGACUCAAUUUGAAUGCAAUGUUAAAAAAAGCGUCAUUCGUACCCGGAUGAGGUGUCUUACCCGCUGCAGAUGCGUGGCGAAUGGGGGUGCAGUCUCCUUCAGGGAGUCUGUGCUUGGGCUUGAAGUGCACUCUCCAGACUUGUAGGAGUGUGUCCGCCUCGAGGGUGCGUCUGACCCGGUGUCACUAGCUGCGAGUUUUGGGGACUCUGGCCUCCUGCAUGGGAGGACGAAGGCUGGUGACUUCCGUGAACGGUCUUCCCUGCACUCCCCCUCUGGGGGAGUACUAUUCCUCACAGUAUCUUGAAUGCAGAAAAAAAAAGUAGGACUUUAAGGUCUGAAAAAAAUUAAUGAUGACAACUCUGAGCAGUGGAUCACUCGGCUCACGGGUCGAUGAAGAACGCAGCCAGCUGCGAGACUUGGUGUGAAUUGCAGGACACAUUGAGCACUUACUUUUCGAACGCACAUUGCGGCCUCGGGUCCUACCCGGGGCCACGUCUGUCUGAGGGUCGGAUUAUGCUUGCAGAAGGGAGUUUCUUCCUGAUUGGUUGUGCCGGAUGCGUCCGCCGACCUAAAUUGUGUGAGUUUUCGACCCCGGCCGAGAGGCAUGCCACGAGAGGAUGUCCGAGAGCGGGAGUGGCGAAGUGCCUGCCUGCAAGCUUGGACCAGUGGUGGAAGCCUGUGCUGGGGAAUUCAGAUGUGGAGUGAAUCUCCUACUUAACUUUGUCGACCUCAGAUCAGGCGAGACGACCCGCUGAAUUUAAGCAUAUAACUAAGCGGAGGAAAAGAAACCAACCAGGAUUCCCUCAGUAACGGC
rnacentral:rRNA from 1 species